CUAAAUCUUAAAACUUUAUUUUCUACCCCCAUGCCACCCUAUUUCAUCUUCUUCCCUAAAAAUCUGAGGAGUUAAUUGUUCCAAUGGUCACUGAAUUUAGGUCCAUGUCUUUGAUUGACAAUUGAACUUUAAAAUGUUGAGUUUUGGCUAUUGAACUAUGAAAAAUGUCCAAUUUUAGUCAGUGAACUUAGGUUUAUGUCUUCGAUUGCUCACAGAAGUUUAAAAUGUUGAGUUU
rnacentral:lncRNA from 1 species